UCAGGACGAACGCUGGCGGCGUGCUUAACACAUGCAAGUCGAACGAUGAUGCCCAGCUUGCUGGGUGGAUUAGUGGCGAACGGGUGAGUAACACGUGAGUAACCUGCCCCUGACUCUGGGAUAAGCGUUGGAAACGACGUCUAAUACUGGAUAUGACUGCCGGCCGCAUGGUCUGGUGGUGGAAAGAUUUUUUGGUUGGGGAUGGACUCGCGGCCUAUCAGCUUGUUGGUGAGGUAAUGGCUCACCAAGGCGACGACGGGUAGCCGGCCUGAGAGGGUGACCGGCCACACUGGGACUGAGACACGGCCCAGACUCCUACGGGAGGCAGCAGUGGGGAAUAUUGCACAAUGGGCGAAAGCCUGAUGCAGCAACGCCGCGUGAGGGAUGACGGCCUUCGGGUUGUAAACCUCUUUUAGUAGGGAAGAAGCGUAAGUGACGGUACCUGCAGAAAAAGCACCGGCUAACUACGUGCCAGCAGCCGCGGUAAUACGUAGGGUGCAAGCGUUGUCCGGAAUUAUUGGGCGUAAAGAGCUCGUAGGCGGUUUGUCGCGUCUGCUGUGAAAUCCCGAGGCUCAACCUCGGGCUUGCAGUGGGUACGGGCAGACUAGAGUGCGGUAGGGGAGAUUGGAAUUCCUGGUGUAGCGGUGGAAUGCGCAGAUAUCAGGAGGAACACCGAUGGCGAAGGCAGAUCUCUGGGCCGUAACUGACGCUGAGGAGCGAAAGCGUGGGGAGCGAACAGGAUUAGAUACCCUGGUAGUCCACGCCGUAAACGUUGGGCGCUAGAUGUAGGGACCUUUCCACGGUUUCUGUGUCGUAGCUAACGCAUUAAGCGCCCCGCCUGGGGAGUACGGCCGCAAGGCUAAAACUCAAAGGAAUUGACGGGGGCCCGCACAAGCGGCGGAGCAUGCGGAUUAAUUCGAUGCAACGCGAAGAACCUUACCAAGGCUUGACAUACACCGGAAACGGCCAGAGAUGGUUGCCCCCUUGUGGUCGGUGUACAGGUGGUGCAUGGUUGUCGUCAGCUCGUGUCGUGAGAUGUUGGGUUAAGUCCCGCAACGAGCGCAACCCUCGUUCUAUGUUGCCAGCGCGUUAUGGCGGGGACUCAUAGGAGACUGCCGGGGUCAACUCGGAGGAAGGUGGGGAUGACGUCAAAUCAUCAUGCCCCUUAUGUCUUGGGCUUCACGCAUGCUACAAUGGCCGGUACAAAGGGCUGCGAUACCGUAAGGUGGAGCGAAUCCCAAAAAGCCGGUCUCAGUUCGGAUUGAGGUCUGCAACUCGACCUCAUGAAGUCGGAGUCGCUAGUAAUCGCAGAUCAGCAACGCUGCGGUGAAUACGUU
rnacentral:rRNA from 4 species